rnacentral:rRNA from 1 species
UAGUAACUGCGAGUGAAGCGGGAAAAGCUCAAAUUUAAAAUCUGAUAGUCCCUGUGGCUGUCCGAGUUGUAAUCUAGAGAAGUGCUUUCCGCGUUGGACCGUGUACAAGUCUCUUGGAACAGAGCAUCAUAGAGGGUGAGAAUCCCGUCUUUGACACGGACUACCAGUGCUUUUGUGAUGYGCUCUCAAAGAGUCGAGUUGUUUGGGAAUGCAGCUCAAAAUGGGUGGUAAAUUCCAUCUAAAGCUAAAUAUUGGCGAGAGACCGAUAGCGAACAAGUACCGUGAGGGAAAGAUGAAAAGAACUUUGGAAAGAGAGUUAAACAGUACGUGAAAUUGUUGAAAGGGAAACGCUUGAAGUCAGUCACGUUGGCUAGAAAUCAACCCUUCAUUGAAGGGUGUACUUUCUGGCUUUACGGGUCAACAUCAAUUUUGACUGUUGGAUAAAAUUCAAUAUUUAUGCAUUUUCGGAUGUAUAGCCUUUGAUUGCAUACAACAGUUGGGAUUGAGGAACUCAGCAUGCCGCAAGGCCGGGUMCAUUGUGACCACGUACAUGCUUAGGAUGUUGGCAUAAUGGCUUUAAUCGACCCGUCUUGAAACACGGACCAAGGAGUCUAACAUGCCCGCGAGUGUUUGGGUGGUAAACCCGAGCGCGUAAUGAAAGUGAAUGUUGAGAUCUCUGUCAUGGAGAGCAUCGACGCCCGGACCAGACCUUUUGUGACGGUUCCGCGGUAGAGCGUGUAUGUUGGGACCCGAAAGAUGGUGAACUAUGCCUGAAUAGGGUGAAGCCAGAGGAAACUCUGGUGGAGGCUCGUAGCGAUUCUGACGUGC